rnacentral:sRNA from 20 species
CCUGUGGAGUGUUAAAUCAAACUGUAGUAGCAAGUAAUUAGCGAAACAGGAUACAUAGAAGCAGGAA